GCAUCAUGCAUGUAACACAGCAGCACACGAGAAGCAGCUACUACAUGUCUCAUCGUUGUUACGACAGGAUCCUGGAUUUACAGAGGAGAGAUGGAUGGAGGGAAGACGGAGGACAAAAUGAAGCUCGGGUCACGCUGAUGUGUUGCUAACACUCCGUGCUGCUCGCCGUGGAGGCUCUGACUUUAAACAGCAGCAGAAGGAACAACCCUUUUCAGAGAUAUGUGCCACAAAUGACUUCAGUCACUUUUAAAUGAAUGUCCCUCACAUUUUAUACAGACACGAAGGUGACGGAGAGGCACAGCAGCAGCAGUGGAUGGACACAGCUGAAAAUCUCCUGCAGAAACACCGUCUGACUUCACGGAGGACACGUCUCUCCAUCAGUGCAGGAGAAGCUGCACGCAUGACGGCGUUCAUAUCGAGCAGUGUUGCUCCACCACCAGAGAGCAGAAGCUGAAACAGUUUCUUCAUCGUGCUCGGAUUUAGCUGGUUAUCGCAGGACUCGCUGCCAGCUAACCUGACGAGCGGUUACCUGCGAGUGUGGAGGUGUGUGUGACCUGAUGGUUGCCAGUUCAGAUCCCAGAGGACGAGCUGAUGUGACUUCUGGCUGCGUGGCCCAGGACUUCGUCCGGCUGUGGGACAAACGAUCAUUCAGAGAUCUGAACCAGAGGAUGAAGGACGAUGAUGUGAAGAUGCAGUUUUAGUGUGUUUUAGUUAAAUCCAGAUUUCAUACUCACCUGUCCUCUCAGUGACUUCCUGUUCUUGUGUGUUUGGUGUUUUCAGCCGUGUGAUUGGCUCUUCAGCUGAUGCUCCUUCGUCUCCUCUUACCUCAGGAGGCUCUGUGAGGAGGAGGAGUAUCCUUCAUCUUUUCAGCUUUUGUGACAUAUAAAGGGUUUAUCCUGUAUCAUGAGUGGAAUUUGAAUUAAACAUCUACUCACCUUCUACUUCAUCAGAUCCACUUGUUCAACUUCCUGUUUACACAAACAACCAGCCAACCACGUGGCAGAAACUCACUGCUGAUCUAC